rnacentral:rRNA from 1 species
GACGAACGCUGGCGGCGUGCUUAACACAUGCAAGUCGAACGGAAAGGCCCGGCGUUUGCGGGGUGCUCGAGUGGCGAACGCGGGUGUAACACGCGAGUAACCUGCCCUUGAGUGUGGGAUAACACCGGGAAACAGGGGCGAAAAUCCGACAUGAGCUCCCGCUGCAUGGUGGGGGUGGGAGAGAUUCGGCGGUUGGGGUUGGACUGGCGGCUUGUCAGCUUGUCGGUUGGGUGGUGGCUUAGCAAGGCUUUGACGGGUAGCGGGGCUGGGAGGGUGAGCGGCCCCAUUGGGUCUGGGCUACGGCCCAGACUCCUCCGGGAGGGGGCGGUGGGGUAUAUUGCACUAUGGGCUGAAGCCUGAUGCGGCGCCGCCGCGUGCGGGAUGGCGGCAUUCGGGUUGUAUUCCGCUUUCGCGUGUGACGAAGCGUGAGUGACGGUACUGGGUAAAGAAGCACCGGCUAACUACGUG